UACGGGGGGGGCAAGCGUUGUUCGGAAUCACUGGGCUUAAAGGGCGCGUAGGCGGGCCGCCGCGUCCGGGGUGAAAUCCUCCCGCUCAACGGGAGAACGGCCUCGGAUACGGGCGGCCUGGAGGCGGGUAGGGGCACGCGGAACUGUGGGUAGAGCGGUGAAAUGCGUUGAGAUCCACAGGAACUCCGGUGGCGAAGGCGGCGUGCUGGACCCGUCCUGACGCUGAGGCGCGAAAGCCAGGGGAGCGAACGGG
rnacentral:rRNA from 1 species